rnacentral:rRNA from 1 species
UACAGAGGGUGCAAGCGUUGUUCGGAAUUAUUGGGCGUAAAGGGCGCGUAGGCGGUGCGGUAAGUCUGUAGUGAAAUCUCUGGGCUCAACUCAGAGUCUGCUGCAGAAACUGCCGUGCUUGAGUGUGGGAGAGGAAUGCGGAAUUCCAGGUGUAGCGGUGAAAUGCGUAGAUAUCUGGAGGAACACCGGUGGCGAAGGCGGCAUUCUGGACCAUUACUGACGCUGAGGAGCGAAAGCCAGGGGAGCAAACGGG